rnacentral:lncRNA from 1 species
AGCACUUCUCCUUGUCUCCUCUGGAGUCAUUUCUCAGCACCACAGCUCCCUAAAAAAGUACAAAAUGGGAGGGGUCACCUGGGGACAGAACAGCUGCAAGCAAGGACUAUGACACUGUGCAAUAUUCUUCCCAUUCUGAACCUCAGUCUCCCUGGGUGAGGAGGCAGCAAGAUGCUUACAGUCAGCCUGACGUGGGUCAGGAUAUUUCCAGCAGGCUCUCCACCCUCCCAGGCUUUCCACUGCAGAAGUCCCUGCUACAGCUCCUAAAGAUGAAUCUGUUGUAAAACCCAAAGGAAAUAUGGGUUAAGUAUCCUUUAUCCGAAAUUCCGGAGACCAGAGUGUUUCUGAUUUUCUACUGGGUACAGAGGCUCACGCCUGUAAUACCAACAUGCAGAAGAUAGAGGAUUGACAAUUGCAGGCUGUCCUGGGCAACAGUGAGUCUUUGUCUAAAUUUUAAUUUUGGAUUAUUUGCACAUACAUAGUGAGGUGUCUUGGGAAUGAAAUUAACACUAAACACAAAAUUCAUCUAUGUUUCUGGUGCACCUUCUACACAUAACCUGAAGUAAUGUCAUCUAGUAUUUUAUUGAUUGCAUUCUGACUGCAAAGGCUUGGAUUUUGAAACAUUUCACAUUUUCGCUUUUGUGUUGUUGUUAUUGUUGCUUUGUGUGUGUGUGUGUGUGUUUGUGUGGUACUGGGGCUUGAACUCAGGGCCUUAAGCCUCUCCACCGGCCCUUUUCUUUGUGUUGGGUUUUUUUGAGAUAGGGUUUCAUGAGCUAUUUGCCUGGGCUGGCUUCGAACUUCGAUCCUCCUGAUCUCUGCCUCCUAAGUGGUUAGGAUUACAGGUGUGAGCCACUGGCACCUGGCAGAAAUCUUAAUGAGAGCUAAAGGAUGGGUGUGAUGAUACACGCUUGUAAUCCCAGCUACUGGGGAAGCAGAGGUAGGAGGAUCGAAGUCUGAGGCAGCCAGGAAAAAGUUAGCUAGGAGACUCUACAUGAAAAACAAACUGAAAAAGCCAAAGGGCUGGUAGAGUGGCUCAAGUGGUAGAACGCCUGCCUAGCAAGCGUGAGGUCCUGAGUUCAAACCCCAGUGCCGCCAAAUAAAAGCUGCUGGGUUUCCUCCCUGCUGUGUGCC